AUUUCUCUGAAGGCCUGUCUCUUGUCUUGACUGCUGUUCUUGGUCUUCCUCUGCUCCUCGUCUCCACUGAGUGCUCCCUUCCUACCAUCUCGGUCCUCUCCUCCAUUGGUGAUCCGCCUUGUUGGUGAUCUCAUCCAACCUCCAAGCUCAACACUGCUAGAGAUCUUGAGAGGAACAUGGUCCUUCUUGGCAUCUGUGGAGAGGGGAGAAGGCCGGUGGACAUUUUGGGGCUGGCAGUGGAACAGCAAGGUUCUCAGAAAAGAUUUGCUUGUAAGGUUUUGCAAGGAACAGCCCUUGACACCUGUGGACGGGGCACAUUUUGGGGUGGCAGUGAAAUAGCAAGAAGAAUGGAGUUUCUGGUCGGUCAGAGAGCGACGCGUUGAAUCUACUGACCCGGCUACCUGAUUGGCCUGGGAGGUUGCUAUUCCUUCGAGGUUGCUGUGACGGUUACUGUUGCCGCCGGUCGCGGUGACCAUUGACCGCAACUGUGAGUUUGCUCCC